CACAUCAGAAUAUCACAGCAAAGAAAAAAACAUUAGGACACUUAAGAUACAUAGUACAGAAAAAAUACAUAGCCUACUAUGUAUUCAAUACAGUGUGUCUGAUUGUAGACUGUGAAGAGCUGCUGGAUUCAGUGCAGCAGGAUGAAGGAGAGCAGAGAACAGCAGAGGAACAGGAAGCUCUGAGCACCGUUACACAGGGACCCUCCUGAGCAGAUGAACAGUGAGAAAAAAGAAAAGCAGAACAACAGAGAUACGCAGAUCCAUCGUGUGACUGGAACAGAAUGAAGGCUAGAGCUAGGCUGCUGUCUAUGUUUAUGUCUGUUCAGAAAGGGGUUGGGUUUACU